GCACUUGUGCCCAAGGAGCUCCCCCAGCCUGAUACCUGCCCCCUCUGUGUCUGAAUGCUUGUUAUUCAUCUGCUGCAGAAGACGGGAGAUGCACACAGUAGACGAGUGUUUGGCGGGAUACCUCAGGGGACAAGAAGCUGCAAGCCUAACAUGGAUCAUGUCUCAAUCGCAUCAGAUUUGAUCAGCGGUAAGUGUGUCUGAACCACUCUUUCUACUCAUGUUUCAGGUAAGAUGAAAAUUUACAUAUUUCAGAUAUAAAAAUAACCAUGCCUCUUGCUCUUGGGACCGUAUGGUAAAGCACCGCCAGAUCUGGUCCUGUGGAGGGGCACCUAACCACUGAGCCAUCUAUUCAGGCCUAGAAUAAAGAUUUUAAUGGUGGACCCGUUAAGAACACAGUUUCAGUAUCAGUAGAAUUAUACAUCUCUUCAUAUUAGUACUUUUUUCCUUUAGAAAUAUAUCAUUAGUCAGUUUUGUCAUUGUGUAACUAUUACAGCAUGGGAAUACAUAAACCAAAGUCAGUCUCUCUUUGUGGCCUCUUCAAGAAAUUCAGAGAUACUAAAAACACAGCAUCUAUGAGGCUAUUACAGCCAUGACGCAACAGAAUAUUUUAUAGCCAUCAUUUUUAAUAAAUAAGAGUAACAUCUAAAAAAGUAAAAAAAAAUCCAGUCUAUUUAAAUUCAAAAACCAGUAAUGUGUACUGUUCAUGAUUGUAUGUGAUCUGCUACUAUUCAACUGGAACUACAAUAGCUUUGCUAACUCAUACCUCACCUCAAACACAUGAGUAAUAUGUUUCACUGAUAUUACUAUACAACUAUGAUGUCAUGCAAGCCACAUGAGUUUGUCAGCUCCAUUCUAGUCUCAAGAUUAUACAUCUGGCCAGUCAUUGCCCAGAAAAUUGAUGCACAUCUGUGAUUUUCAUUAAAUAAUCAUUACAAAGAAAAUUAUAUUCAUGUGCUCAAAAACAUUUUAUCCAAGUCAAUGGUCUAACAUUAAUAUAGUGCUUUAUUCUUAUGAGUUCACAGCCUUAUAUACUAUUGCCUAAGCAGGGAAAAGGGGUACCAUAAUUUUAAUAGAACAAAUUUGACACAUGAUACAGGAUAGUAUGAGAAGUUCCUCCCCACUGACUUUCAUGCCAUUCUGGUCAUAGGAAAUUUGUCAUGACUGUUUUCCUGACAUAUGUAUGUGUCACUCCAAAAGUUAAGGAAGUAACGACUCACAAAGGAACAGGCACUCUGGCUAUUAGAAGAAAAGGCGGCUUUUUGAAAACUUGCAUUGACAGGUCUUAACUUUGGUAUGUGGUGUUAGUCAAUUACCUUUGACUGGCCCUCAAAGAAGUGUGGUUGCAUUACCAGAUUAAGGUUAACAUUAUCUAUGGAAAAUAAAGGAUAAUUCAUUGACCAUAGCAUUUCUGUUGUUAAGGAUUCCCAACAUGGUAAAGAAAAUGUAAAAGAAAUAGUUCAGCUGUGUUUUAAGUUAUGCAAGGAAGCAUCAUAUAAAAUACCUUAUUGUACCGAAAAGAACAUGAUUGUACCAUAACUACUAAAAAUGAGUACUCUAAACUGGAUUCUACUUGUAUCAUUUCCUUACUGUUACCGUCUCUCUUUUUUUCAGAUUUUUUUUAAUUUAAUUUUAUUUUAUGUGUGUGAGUAUAUUGUGUGCAUGAGUAUAUGGGAAACAUGUGCAUGCCUGAUGCCAUGCAGGGAUGGAAGAAGGGAUCAGAUCCCCAGGAACUGCAUUUAAGGGUGUCUUGAAACUACCCUGUGGAUACUGGGAACCGAACCUGGGUCCUCUACAAACACAAACAUACUUAAUUGCUUAGCCAUCCCUCCAGUACCCAUUAUUACCUUUAAUAUUCUGUCAGGGUACUAAAAUGUGUCCUUUUAAGUGUCAUGAAAAGACAAAUCAGUCUUAUGUUCUGUUAUCCCCUUUUUUAUGGUACGAUAGUGCUACAGAAUUGUGGAGGGUCCUAAUCAGAUGUUCUCAUGAAAACAGAACAUUCACAUAAAAAAAACAACCACAGCUAAUAGUACAAUCUUUUCUUCAAUUAACUAACACAUACCUACUCAAAGACACAUGCACAUUCCAAAAACGCCCCCACUGAUAAUCAUUCAUGCACUAGCAAAACACACCCCUCUUCUCCAGUGAGAAAUUACAUAAAAUCACACACACACACACACACACACACACACACACACACACACACCAGAUUUUCAAAAUGUCAGGAGCUCAGUGGCCUUCAGCUCACCUAUGGGAUUCUUAAACCCCCUCAACACACAUCAGUUACAUGCUAAUGUGAAGCUCUACCACACCAUGGUCUGAUUACAUCACCAGUUUCCAUGUUCUUUUGAUUGAGGUCCCAAUGAGGGUUGUAAGAAACAACAAAAAAGGAAAUUUUCAAGGAGGAAUCAUCUGCAAAGCUAUUUUUGCAAAUGUCCGGAUAUAACAAC
ensembl:antisense